rnacentral:rRNA from 1 species
GAUGAACGCUGGCGGCGUGCCUAAUACAUGCAAGUCGAGCGAACAGACGAGGCGCUUGCUCCUUUGACGUUAGCGGCGGACGGGUGAGUAACACGUGGAUAACCUACCUAUAAGACUUGGAUAACUUCGGGAAACCGGAGCUAAUACCGGAUAACAUGUUGAACCGCAUGGUUCAACAGUGAAAGACGGUCUUGCUGUCACUUAUAGAUGGAUCCGCGCCGCAUUAGCUAGUUGGUAAGGUAACGGCUUACCAAGGCAACGAUGCGUAGCCGGCCUGAGAGGGUGAGCGGCCACGCGGGAACGGAGGCACGGUCCAGACUCCUACGGGAGGCAGCAGUAGUGAAUCUGGCGCAAGGGGCGAAAGCCGGACGGAGCGACGCCGCGUGAGGGAAGAAGGUCUUCGGAGCGUAAAACUCUGUUAUUAGGGAAGAACAAAUGUGUAAGGAACUAUGCACGUCGUGACGGUACCUAAUCAGAAAGCCACGGCUAACUACGUG